rnacentral:sRNA from 1 species
UUGCAGCAUCUGCGGGCCAACAAAGUGAACGUGGGUGUCAACUGCACCCGCCGUCAUAAUGAGCCCAUUGCCCGACAUGAUUUCGGUAGACGGUCCGAUCACCAGAUCAGGAUGUACACCGUCCAUUGUGUCAGGGUUGCCGGCUUUGCCCAAGGCCACGAUACGGCCGUCUCGCACCCCCACAUCAGCUUUGAUGAUGCCCCAGUGAUCGAGAAUAAUCGCACCGGUAAUCACCAGAUCGGGGGUACCUUCGGCCCGUGUGGCACACGAUUGCCCCAUCGACUCGCGCAC